rnacentral:rRNA from 1 species
AGAGUUUGAUCAUGGCUCAGGAUGAACGCUAGCUACAGGCUUAACACAUGCAAGUCGAGGGGAAACGACAUCGAAAGCUUGCUUUUGAUGGGCGUCGACCGGCGCACGGGUGAGUAACGCGUAUCCAACCUGCCCACCACUUGGGGAUAACCUUGCGAAAGUAAGACUAAUACCCAAUGAUAUCUCUAGAAGACAUCUGAAAGAGAUUAAAAGAUUUAUCGGUGAUGGAUGGGGAUGCGUCUGAUUAGCUUGUUGGCGGGGUAACGGCCACCAAGGCGACGAUCAGUAGGGGUUCUGAGAGGAAGGUCCCCCACAUUGGACUGAGACACGGUCCAAACUCCUACGGGAGGACA